UGAACAUAUAGAGCAAAUGUGGUAUUAUCCAACAAGUGUUUAAUUGAAAUACAUCGAUGCAGCGUGAAAGGGUGAUCUUGUUGCAAGAUUUUAAUAUCGCCCCUGACUCACCCUACCGAAACGUACAAUGACAAACACGGUCUUUGUCCCGAGAAGACACUGGAAGUUGGAAAUGUCAGCACGGCACGGAAAGUGUGUGUGGGUGCAGUGGAGAGAUUUACACCGUCCUGGGCCAAUGUGAGGAGCUUGUCGUCACGCCGAAAACACUCCACAAUGCAACAGUGCAAUGGCGAGGGAGCUCACAGAUCAAUCUGACCUUGUUCUGUAGAGAGGACGCCGUUAUUUGGUUGUCAGAAUACAAAUGUCUUAAACAAUCGUAAGGAUUUUCAUAAUUAAAAAUGUAUAUCCGCUCAAAGAUUUGAUUAUAAACAAUCAUCACAGUAUCCGGUCCCCCGUGAAGAACCGUUAGCAGAAAUUCUGUGAAUCUUACUUGCAAUUGGAUCUACCACAGUAUCAGAAUUAGUUGUUUUUUUGGUUUUUUUCUCCUUUGAUGACACCCACGAGCACGGGUAUAGUGCUGCGCUUUCGGAGACUUUAAUCGGGGAUAUUCUUGGGUUCGAAACCAGAAACAGCGGAUUCUGGCAUUUAAACAUACAUGAACAUGUGUUGUGAGUUGCAGCGACGAAUAGACCAGUGGGCUACUCCACCACCGACAUGAGGCACCCAUCACUGGGUUCAUAAACAUCCUUUUUGUCAAACUUUAUAACUAUAACGUUCUUUGUGUCUUCUGCACUGGUCAAACAAGUUGUAACUUGAUUUUUGCGAAGUUUGUUUUCUCAUUAUUGAGCUAAUGAUCAGUCGUACAAAGGUCAUUAUUUCAGAAUAAAGUGCCACUGCCUUGUUCAUCCAAAUUCAAGACGCCCGUAGAUGUAGAUGGACUGUCGUCUCUGCUGCCGCUAAUUUGAUCCAUGGAGAAUCGUUGUGGUAACGUUUACACAAAGGACCGAUCUGACCAUUGUUUAGCGACGAGAUGGCUUGUGGACUUGUCAAUGUUCCGUUCAGAAAGUCGUGUGCUCCAGCCAAGCUGCACGUGAUCUCGCGAGAACUGCCCCUGUCGUCUGCCCCGUGCACGUGCACGUCAACGGUAGCGAAGAGAAUCUGACAAACUCUGUGGCUAGAUGUUCGGUGAAAUGUCAGCUGUUCACGCAAGAAUUAAUACAUUUGCACUUAAAGCGGUGGAUUCAAUAAACGCGAUAAUUGAACAUCGGGUAUCCUAAACUCUAUCCACAAUGCUCCACAUUGAGAUUGAUAAUCUAAUGGUCGAUAAGUACAAGAUGGCUUUACCCACACAGCCCACAAACAAAUCUGUUUCUCUGAAUGAACCUAAUAUUCAAGUAUUCAUCAGAAAUCGGAUAAUAGAUAACAUAGAAAUACAUGACGCAAUAUGGUUCCCCAUGACACAAAUACCCAUAAGGCCAUAUCACAAAGUCGACUUGAUUGCAACUGCUGGGGGCCUAUAGAUUCAGCCCCAAAUGAAGCCCAGAAAAUACCCCGUAAUUACCAUUGCUCUGCACGGUCACAUGCUAAUAUUUCAGAAAAAUGUAAUUGGAGAUCCAGAGCUGCACGUUCCAAGUCAUCAAAUACAAAUACCCUCAAAGUAUCGUUUUGAAGCAUACAGAUCAUCUUGGUCAAUGCAUUCUCUUAGUGGCAGCUGUCAUAAAGUGAGGGAUGCCGAGAUUGAUGGUAGGAUGUUUUAUUUCGCCUCGCUGAUCAAAUCAUAGCCCACUCAUUAUCAAUCAGAACAUAUUUCUCAAUACUUCCCUCUACACUGCUCAAGCUAAUUUAUUAGAUCAUAAGCACAUGACAAAAGGCAGUCCUGGCACCCUCGCGCAGUGUGGAGUUUCACCAAUAAUCUGUAUGGCUAGUACCCUUGAAUAAUGCUAGAUCUAAAACAUUAGAUAAUCCUUAGAGAAUAAAUCAUUAAUUAUUAAAUUGUCAUCUCCAUCCGCCUCACUUCCGCUAGAACAUCCUGGCAUCACUUUAUUGUCUCCUACAGAUGGCGACAGUCGCUUUGUGGGCCCCUGGUUACUUCACGUGAUGAAAUACACCAUUCAGGUGGUCCUACCAAAGAAUCAUGUUUCAUGUAAAUCACAUUUGCCUUGAACAGUUCGUUAUUUUGAAAAAAAGAACUCUUUUUAAAAAUUAAAAAAAGUUGCAGAAAAAUCUAGUAAAUCUACAUCUACAUCUGAAUCUACCGGGAAGACUGGACAUGCUAACCCUUGGCGACUACCUGCUGUCAUCACUGAUUUUCAGUGAUCCAUUCAUAUUACUUUCACCGCUAUUUUGCCUUUUACGCCCAAUGGAUUAUGUUUCGGAGACUGAUUAUUCUCUGGCGUUGACGUUUAAUUAUUACAGUGGCCAUAUCGAUGUCUCACUUACAUAUGCCCGCCGUUGUCUCACAAGAUUCGUAUGGCUGCCAGCCCGUGGCUUGCUGGACUCUUGUAUACAAAUCUCAGGCAAGACUCUUAUUGUUGUGGAAGUCCAGAUUUCUUCCGUCUGAAAAUUACAACAUUGGUGGGUUCUUUUGAUCAUACAUUACAAGACAAUGAAUAAUUUUCGUUCUAAGACGAUACCUAAAUCUUGUGAGACUUGCGAAACAAAACGGAUCGUUGUUAGGUUCGUCUAUCCCUUAAUAUCAGCCCGUUCCCAGCCUUUAAAGAUUACAUGGGGUGAGAUGUUCGUUUAAAUAUUAUUGGCAUGUGACAUUCUUUGUAUUUGUGGGAUGAUAUGGACUUACUUCUACUUGGGAUAUCUGGUGGUAUUCAAAGUGAAAAUAACAGAAACUGGUCAAAGCACAUCUAAUAACGACUCGUCACGAUAUGGCUGAAAUAUUGCUGAUGUGACGUUAAACUUACCUCACUCACUCUGAUAACGAAGGUAUGAGAUACAAUAAUGUGGCGAUUCCAUGGUAUAAUCUAUGUUGUUUUACCUAUCAAUUUUCUUUUCGAAUUCUACAUCUGCAUAUACACAUGUUUCAAUUUCAAUUAAUUUAAAACCAAAAUAAUUACUCUCCCGGUAUCCUGUGAUCAUCUCCUACAGUUUCAGUGUCAAGUCCUCUACCAACAUCAUCUUUAUCUAAAUCUAAUUCUUUCAGAAAUAUACAAUGUAAACACCAGAGAACAACCAGUCUCGGCCGGAUUAUUAUCUGCCGGAACCGAUUCCACUCGGCGUAAAAGACAAAAUAGCGGUGAAAACUUUACGAAUGGGUUACUGAAAAUAUCUCUUUAUGAAUCAGAUAUAGUUAAUCUCGAUUUUCUCAUCAUCAUCAUCAUCAUCAUCAUCAUCAUCAUCACCUCCCCCACCACCAUUACCAUCCUCCUCCUCCUCCUCCUCCUCAUCAUCAUCAUCAUCAUCGUCAUGAACAACAUCAAUAUCAGCAACUUCAUCACCAUCACCAGAAUCAUCAGCAUUGUCAUUAUCAGUUGUAUUUAAGUACAUGUAAACCCACACGUUACCGUCUCUCCUGUGACACUAUUGAAUACACAAUUAAUGUGAAACUCUAGUGAUAGGUCAUCCCUGUAAACAGUUUUGUUCACCAGUUCCAUCUGCGAUAUCAUUGUAUUCGGAAAAAAUGCUUGCAUGUUAUGAUGUUGCCAAGACGCACAAUUUCUGGUAACCAUCCGUAUCUGUAAUAAUACAAAUGGAAUUCACGUCUAUACCAUGUGUUAAGUUGUCACUGCAAACACGUUUUGUUUGUUUACAAGCUCAAUCUGAGAAAUCUUCAAAAAUAAAAGUAGUGUGUACAUUAGCUGCUGGUAGAGAGAUAUUCAUGUUUACCUCUUUUGAUAGGGGUGGGCUAGCCCAGUGGUUAAAGUGUUCGCUCUUCACACCGAAGACCCGGGUUCGAUUACCCACAUGGGUAAAAUGUGUGAAGCCCAUUUCUGGUGUCCCCUGUCGUGAUAUUGCUGGAAUAUUGUUAUAUGCGGCGUAAAACCAUACUCACUCACUCAGUACAUCUUUUGAUAAGCUAUCAUUAGUGUUUUCUGGUUAAGUGAGGUGGAGGUCAGCCCCCUUUCAUGACGUAUUGUUUGGACAAAUGCCAAAUAAAGCAUCACACCACUGUG